UUCCCCAUCCGUCAAGAUGGGGAAAGGCUUCCAACUGCAAAGACCACCAGUGAGUGGAGAGCUGAGCCUUUCAAGGGGAAUGAAAUCUUUUGAGCAGCAACACUGACAUACCUCGACCUCCCUGGAAAGGUUAUGUGGUGUUGCCAUGGCAACACAGGACACCAGCGGUAUGUUAAAAAGGUAGCCUGAAGAAGAUGGGGGUGGGCGCGUCUAAACUGAAACUAAGGCUGUGGAAUUCUGUGGGUGAGUGAGGAUGCAUUUUGAAUAUUAAUAUUCUGUUUAAAUUAAGUAGGAGUAUCCACAGUUCUAUCCUCUCCUCCACUCUGAAGCUUCAUUCCCAUUAACAUUUGUAAAAGCCCAAUAUGCACUAUGACGAAUCCAGCUCUGUGGACAAGGAGGGUAUUUUUAGACGUGUACUCAUUAGUGCUGAGAGAUCAUUUGUAAUGAAGGACAGGGGGAGAGGGAGGCCAAUAUCCCUGUGAAAGAUGGCAUCGAUAUUCAAAUACCUGAUGAGUGAGUGAGUGUAAAAGAGGUAGUGAGGUGAGAUGUUAGGGGUAAGCCAAUCAAAGAGUUUAAGGGGAGUGAUGCAAUAAAAUUGUAAGGGGCAAGGUUACGUGAAUUAUAAAGCACAUUAGGCAUGAUUUAAAAGCUUCCCAUUCUGCUUUUAAAAUAACAAUAUGACAUAUAUGGCUGAUUAGGUGCGCUACAUUCAUACAAUAUCAGAGAAACUAUUUUCCCUUGGUUGAGGUCAGAUCUGUUGCUCUUACUACUCGGUAUCUUCCAAUAAUUCAAAUGCAAUGAAGAAUGAUGUCAGCAACUACCAUUCACAAUCACGCAUACAAUCAGUUAAUGGAGUCUUCAAAUGAUAUACAGUAUAACCAGCCGUAAACAUGUUUCCUGUUAGGGUCAUAAGUGGUCGCACUGAAUAAUGGAAUUCUGAUUUCAUUUGCUACAUGAGGGAAAGUACCACCGUCCCAUCCUUCUCCAGGUAGAAGGGUUCGAUUGGACAAGAAUAUGGUGCCACUGUCUGUUUGACAAAGUGAGGACAACAAUACCGAAGAAUGCCUCCACAGAAGGGGUACCUGGAAGAGGAAAACUAUGAUGAAGAUCGCCUUGCUGUCAUGUGUCUCCUGGGUGCUCAAUACAAAAUGUGGCUUUCAGAUGCUUCUCCUGACACACUGUCACCUCCCCUGCUGCUCCCAAAUGAACUACUGAACUCCAGAUGGAGCAGACUGGCUCACUUAUUAAAGAUUUACCAGCUGAGUCUGCUGCUGUGUCCUUGACCUUCCAUACAGCGACUGCACAAAGAGAGUGGGUGUGUGAGGCAAUGUGAGGGGGCAGGAAGUUGAAUAACGACUUUGCUGGGUUUGCCACUUGACAGCACUGGCAGGCUGUCAGCAGAGAGAAUGCAAUAUCAUUUGUAGUAAAUUACAGGCCUCGUAAGUCAAGUUUGCGCUGACAGCUCCCUCGGCCGUCAGGAAGAAAACGCCUCUACCGUGAAAAACUGCACUCAAACACCCACCUUCACGCUUUUGGCCCAUUACAGCAUCAGCAAAACUACUUCAAACCAUAUAAAUUCCAGUUUACUAAUCGGAUUCCAGAAUAAGUAUGUUUUCUUUUUCUUUUUUGGAUAUUUUGGAUGGCAAAAUCUAGUCUGCCUUUCCUUUUCUUGCUUUUUACUGGAACGUGGUAAUGUAAGGCAUUACUUAUGAAUUUCAGUAAUAUGCCAGUUAAUCUCAGUAACCCGAUUUAUAAUACAUUUAGCUUUGUGUUUACCAGGCAUUGUCUUUUGCCCAGAUAUGUCCACUUUUUGCAACCUCCAAACACAGUCCCCACGUAUUAUUCCUCUUGCUGUAACUUGGCUUUCUGUUUAGGUCUGGCCUUCCUGCUCGCCUGCCUGUACAGUCAUUGGCUGGCUUGUCAGUCACUGUGAUAAAAUAGACGUUGAGGCCCACUGAUUGGUCAUAAUUUCACCCAGUGCAAUCAGUGUUAAAUAAAUGUUAUCCAUAUAGAUAUAUUUUGUCUUUCAUUUUUAGUUGAUUUAGGGCCAGCUGUUAAACAGACAGAAUGAAUAUUAUUUGGUCAAAAUACUGUACAUCUUCAAGAAGAAAACCUUGGCAAAGUAUAUGGGUCUGAAAAUGACAGUGAUUGGAAUAAUCUAAAAACGAUUAUGGUCAAA